rnacentral:misc_RNA from 1 species
GGAAAGGAAAUCAAACAGACAUAUUCACCUAUGAAACAGCGACAAUGUCAAUAUAUUUGUCUUCUUGAAAUAAGACAAUAUGGUCAAAACAUGAGACUAAAUGCAGCUUAAAAGUCCUAAGAACAAAACUCCAACUGGCAAGUGGACUUGGGGAAUCACUAAUCAAUUAUAUCACAAUUCACUUGCUUCAGUCUCUAGCAUUCAAGAAAGAUACAUAUGUUCAUGCGCAUUAAAUGGCAAAUAAAAUUUUCAGCUUAAAAUGACAAGGGCACAUUUCUUCUUAAAGUCAUAUAAAAAAAAAGGGAGGUUCUCAAAAUCUCCAAAAUAGAGGCGGACUUAUCCCAAUUCACCUUGUCCUUGAAACUAUUGUACUCUUAAAAUUUUAAGUGUUGGAGGCUGCAGAAUGCAAAUGGUCUUCAAGAUUUGACGAUUAUAAGAUCAGCACCAGAUGAGUCACCAUGCAAGUAGCGCAUAACAUGAAAAGGCAUCUUUGAUGAUUUAGUAUAGUUGGGCAAGCACAAUUUUAAGGACUUCAAAUUAGUAAAGGGGCAAAGUUGUUUUUCCAGUAAACCAGGAACGAAAGUAAGGACCUCAAUUGUAUUAUAAUGCAGUUUGACAAAUUGCACAUUAUGGAAUCCUCGGAACAAAUUGAUCAAAUUCAUAUUGGCAUUUUCCCCGUCGAACGAUGGAUAAACUCGAUAAACUGCAAUAUCCACAACAUUAAGAGAAGGAAAAUUGACCUCACCAAAAACCAUAGGCCCUAUCCAAUGAUAUAUAAAGAAGGUGAGUUUUGGAGCAAAAAUUUCAAUCUUUAAAUGCGGGCAAUAUCCAUUCUGAAGUCCAUUCUGAAGUGAGAGGCUAAGUAGUUGCAACCCAGAUAUUCUAAGAGACUUUGCGCUUCCAAAGUUGCAACAGAUUAGGCUUAAGUUCUUCAAAUUGGGACAACUAACAAAAGGAUCAAGCAACUCAUCAGUUUGAUCAGAAACGGCAAAAGAACAAUUUUCCAGAUGCAAUGAAUUCAGCAUUGUAAAAGAAGCAAAUGACAGUGGUAAAGUACUAAAUGAGUUCAAAUCCAGCGUUUCAAUAGAUUUACAAUUGAGAAGUGCGUAUGGGAAGCUUGUGUUUGCCUCCAAGUGAAGAUGCUGAAACCUACGGGACACAACGCAGCUUAUAACCUUUUUCAUUAAGGUUUUAGCCCUCAACCAAAGCCCAUAACGAAAGUGAAACUUGCCACCAAAACUGGGGUUGUCACGCCGGAUAGGCAAGACUUGGAGAACGAACUUUUGAAAAUGCCAUUUUGGAGAAAAGGAUUCAUAGUCAAAAUUGAGAUGAGGAAGAGAAACCCAAAAAUAUCUCCAUCUCUUUGACAGCACACAAGUUCGGAUCGCUUGUUUAGUUUCGACAAAAGAGAAGAUGUGAUGAAGAAUUGAGUCCGGUAAAUUGCUCAACCUGUCUCUGCCCUUUCUAGCUUUCUUCUUUCUCACAUCGGAGGAACACAUUCUGCUUUCACUCUGCAAUUUUGUCCGUUUG